GUAAGGCGCACGCGCGAGAAUGGAUUGCAGGCUUUCCUUCACUCGCGCUCUCACACAUCUCUCGGGACGAGGUGCGUUCAAGCGCAUGCGCAUACCGUCUCCCUUCGGUGGAUGGGGCGGAGCGUGUGAACAAUAAGCCAGGAAGCGGGUCUUUCCGGCACGUGGAAUUGUAUCAGACUAGGUGUACACAGGAAGAGGCGAUGAAUCAUAGAGUACGUAUUGGUAUGAGAUGUAGUUACCAUUUUUUGGAUGCUAGCAGCAUAGUGAGACCAUGCAGACAUUAUGACAACAGACGAAUGGACACUGGGCAACAAUCACCAGACAGGAAUGUUUCCUCCCAGUUGGGUAACACUUCAGCAGCCAAGGACAAUCAGUCUCUGAUCUUCGGAUAAGUGUCCUCCAAGGCGGCCUUUGAGAUACAACAAUGCAAAAUCGCCGAGCAGAAACUGAUAGCCAUAUUCCGUGCCCAUGAAGAUGGCCUCAACUGUGAUCUUGGUGUCAUGUUGUU